UACGGAAUGUGCAAACGUUAUUCGGAAUCACUGGGCUUAAAGAGUCCGUAGGCGGCAUGUUAGGUGAGGUGUGAAAUCCCCCGGCUCAACCGAGGAAUUGCGCUUCAAACCGGCGUGCUUGAGGAAGAUAGAGGUGGGCGGAACUGAUGGUGGAGCGGUGAAAUGCGUUGAUAUCAGCAGGAACACCGGAGGCGAAGGCGGCCCACUGGGUCUUUUCUGACGCUGAGGGACGAAAGCUAGGGGAGCGAACGGG
rnacentral:rRNA from 1 species